CCUACGGGUGGCAGCAGUGGGGAAUAUUGCACAAUGGGGGAAACCCUGAUGCAGCGACGCCGCGUGAGUGAUGAAGUAUUUCGGUAUGUAAAGCUCUAUCAGCAGGGAAGAAAAUGACGGUACCUGAUUAAGAAGCCCCGGCUAACUACGUGCCAGCAGCCGCGGUAAUACGUAGGGGGCAAGCGUUAUCCGGAGUGACUGGGUGUAAAGGGAGCGUAGACGGCAGCACAAGUCAGGAGUGAAAUGCCGGGGCUUAACCCCGGAACUGCAUUGGAAACUGUGCAGCUAGAGUGCAGGAGAGGUAAGUGGAAUUCCUAGUGUAGCGGUGAAAUGCGUAGAUAUUAUGCAGAACACCGAUUGCGAAGGCAGCUUACUAAACUGUGACUGACGUUGAGGCUCGAAAGCGUGGGGAGCAAACAGGAUUAGAUACCCUUGUAGUC
rnacentral:rRNA from 1 species